rnacentral:rRNA from 1 species
GACGAACGCUGGCGGCGUGCCUAAUACAUGCAAGUAGAACGCUGAAGAGAGGAGCUUGCUCUUCUUGGAUGAGUUGCGAACGGGUGAGUAACGCGUAGGUAACCUGUCUUGUAGCGGGGGAUAACUAUUGGAAACGAUAGCUAAUACCGCAUAACAAUGGAUGACACAUGUCAUUUAUUUGAAAGGGGCAAUUGCUCCACUACAAGAUGGACCUGCGUUGUAUUAGCUAGUAGGUGAGGUAAUGGCUCACCUAGGCGACGAUACAUAGCCGACCUGAGAGGGUGAUCGGCCACACUGGGACUGAGACACGGCCCAGACUCCUACGGGAGGCAGCAGUAGGGAAUCUUCGGCAAUGGGGGCAACCCUGACCGAGCAACGCCGCGUGAGUGAAGAAGGUUUUCGGAUCGUAAAGCUCUGUUGUAAGUCAAGAACGGGUGUGAGAGUGGAAAGUUCACACUGUGACGGUAGCUUACCAGAAAGGGACGGCUAACUACGUG